GAAGCGAGGCGCCCGGAGCCGGAGCCGGAGCGCGGGCGGGCGGGCGGGCGAGGCGCCGUCGGGGAGCGGCGCGAGGUGAAGCCUCCCCGUGGCCGCCCGGGCGGCUCGAGCCGACUCCCCGGCGGCCUCGCGCCCAUUCCCUCCCGGAGAGCCCGCAAGCAGGUCUGAGUGUAUGUUGGUCAUAGGAAGAGACCAUUUCGUUCAGCAUAAUGUCAUAUACUGUAUUUCCUGUAUACUGCUACUGCUGUAUUUCCUGCUACGAUCUGGUGGUUUGACUGGAGCAGGGACAAGAGAGUGUGUCUGCACGCGAGGAUAUACAAAGGAGAGCAGUGGGCAUUUUUUACCGGAUUUUCAGAAAGACUUUAAUAAGGUGCCUUACACGAGGCUGUUGAACAAGAUAGGAGCCUAUGGUAUUUCAGGAAGGACACAAGCAAGUAAAGAGGCAGCCAAAAAACAGAGAAACCCAAGGGAACCCGUUAAAAAAAAGAAGACAGUCAAAUGCCUAAUGUGCAGAUAAAAAAGCAAAUUAUGGAAGUAAUAAAAAUAAGCAAAUAACAUUCAGAACUGAAGUUGAUGAAAAUAAGAAAUCAAUGGAAUUCUUUAACCUGGAGAGUGGUGAAGGGUCAAUCCCUGAAUUUGGUAAAAACAGAAAUGAACAGCUUUCUGGAUGUCAAUGGGAAUCAAGGAUUUUGGAGAUGGAUUAUUGCAAUCCUCCAGGUUGGGAGGUUCAGCUCAGAGUUAAUAACCUUAACUAGUUAACCAACACGAUUACAGAAACAGCAAUGAAGAAUCCUUCUACAUCUGUGUGCAAUGGUAUUCCAGAGCCUCCACCUGGGACUUGCAUGACUGACAGUAAACGGACAGAAAGCUACUGACACAAUGAAGGAAGCCGUGAACGUCGCCAGAGAUGGAGGAGCUUCAUUACUGCCCUAAAUGUGAGCAACGUAACAGGGGAAAGAAGAAGAUUAUUGCAAACAACUGCAUUUCAUAACUUUCAAAACUGUUUUCUGUUAUGUUUAUGCAUUGUGAUUACUUCUCUUGUUACAGUGAAAAAAACUAAAGGCAGUCCUCUUCAUAUAUCACCAUCCACCAAGAAUGAAAAGUAUGAAAUGACUCAAUGACAAACUGAAUGAUUCAAUUCAGACUGAUAACUUACCAUACCUGGUCUUGCAAGCCACAUUGUUAUGUACUUUUAUCCAAUGUAUACAGCAGACAAUUAAAUGUAUUUCUGCUGCAUUUCAUUUCUGUCCAUAAAAUUAAACUGCUGGUGGUGAAAUUGUUCAUGGAUAUCCUCAUGAUAUCCCUUCAUCCAAUAUUUUGGAUGAGUAGAUGAUAUUGUAAAGACUUCAAUAAUUAUUGUAAAGUGUCUGACCAUUGUCACCAGCACUAAUUUCUACUCUCAUAAAUGAAGAUUUUAAAAACAUAUGCUUGAAACUUCCAGUGAUGAUGAACAAUUUGUAUUUAUUUAUAUCUACAACAUAACAAAACAUUCCAAUAUACUUUACAGGAAAAUAUUAGUCAUAAUUGACACUGAGCCACACAAGAUUUAUGUCUUAAUGGAGGAAAGUGAAGUAGAGGAAAUUUUUGAUCUUAGGCUCUAGAUACAUGGAAGACUAGGCACAAAUUAAAGGGAUGACAAUAACUUAAUGUUCACAAGGCAAUAAUCAAAUGAAUAGUAGGUUUGCCAUAUGACAAUAAAGUAGAUUUGGUAGAUUAGAACCAUAUUUUCUAGAGUUCAGAAGGACAAGAAAAGAUCGUGUUUAAAUUUACAAAGCUCUUAAAGAGCUUGAUAAGGCAUGUGCAAAGAGGAUGUUUGCCCUGAACGAGGAGUCUAGGUGCACAGUUUGAGAAUAAGGGGGUAGGCCUUUUAAGACUGAGAAAGGUGACAAACCUUUGAAAUUGCUUAUUCUUUAACAGCCAGGGAAGCUCAUUCAUUAUGUUCAAUUAAAACAGAGAUCAAUAGAUUCCUGGGCAUUAAGGAAAUCAAUGGAUAUUCAGGUAGUUCAGUAAAGUGGCACUGAGAUGCAAUAUUGGCAAUGAUCUUGAUGAAUUGUGGACUGGGUUUCCUCCUACUCCUAUUUCUGAUGAAUGUAGAGCUCUGAAAGGGUUAGAGAAGAUUACAGAGCCAGCACUUGAAAUGCAAGGAUGAAGUUGGAACUAGUGUAUGUCAAUAAACACCAGUAAUAAUGCAAAUCAGAAUGUGUGGCAGAAUUUGCAAGACAGGAAAGUAAAGGAGUCUGGGGCUGAAAGGAAAAUUGGAUAGGCAUGAG